rnacentral:rRNA from 1 species
AAUAUUGCGCAAUGGGGGGAACCCUGACGCAGCAACGCCGCGUGAGCGAUGAAGGCCUUCGGGUCGUAAAGCUCUGUCUUAAGGGAUGAUAAUGACAGUACCUUAAUAUGAAGCCCCGGCUAACUACGUGCCAGCAGCCGCGGAAAUACGUAGGGGGCGAGCGUUGUCCGGAAUUACUGGGUGUAAAGGGCCCGUAGGCGGUUAUUUAAGUCAGCUGUGAAAUUCCAGGGCGUAAACCUGGAAUUGAAAUUGAAACUGAACAACUUGAGAUAAGGAGAGGAGAGCGGAAUUCCUAGUGUAGCGGUGAAAUGCGUAGAUAUUAGGAGGAACACCAGUGGCGAAGGCGACUUUCUGGACUGUAACUGACGCUGAGGUACGAAAGCUAGGGGAGCAAACA